UUUUCUUAUGGACAGCAUCAACCAGUGGUCUUUGUCUAUGUUGGAAGUAUUAAUUGCAAUAUUCUGUCAUUCCGACGUUUGAAUUUGUAGUGAAUAGUUAUAAAAGCAAGUCUUAAUACGAUUUACAAUAUUAUUCGUCUUUAUUUCUCAUUUAAGUUGUGAAAUUGGAAACGAACUGUUAAAUAAAUAUUUGUAAUCAGUUCCACGGCAUCCUUGGGAUUGUUUUGACAUGAAACAGCCUGCGUAUCAGAAACUGCAAGGUAGUUCCGGUCGCGCUGACUCACCUAUUCGAUCAGUGUUUCGUUCUCUAGCUUGGGUGACAGCAACUGUUUUUAUAGCUUUGGGAUUGUAUCAUAUUUCUACAAUGGCUUCAAUUUCCAAAACUCCAAUUACGAUAGCUGAUCAGGCAAAAGCUGCAGCUGCACUUCAGAACUUUUCUGUUUCUUUGUUCCAGGCAGUUGGAAAGCAUCACAGUCCAACAGAAAAUGUUUUCAUUUCUCCUUUUAGCGUUGCUGCAGUUUUAAGUAUGGUAGGUGUUGGUGCCAGAGGCAAUACAGCUGUACAACUAAAGAAAUCAAUGGGCCUUACAAACUACGUAGCUGAAAAUGGGAAUAGUGAUAGUGUGAUUGGUAGCCUUAUUCAAAGCAUCAAGGGUGAUGAAAAUUUUACUCUCGAAGCCGCUAAUCAGCUUUACGUUGCCGAAAAGUAUCAGCUCACUGAUGACUUUAAACAAAACUUGAAUGACAAUUAUGGAGCCGCUGGGCAAACCGUUGAUUUUGCCGUAGAUGCUUCACGCACAAAAAUCAAUGAGUGGGUGGAAGAAUUUACCCAGCACAAAAUCAAAGAUCUUCUCCCUGAAGGAUCGGUGAAUUCUUUAACCAAAUUGGUGUUGGUCAAUGCCGUAUAUUUUAAGGGAAAUUGGAUGCGAAAAUUCGACUCGUCGCUUACCGCAGUAGAACCUUUCUAUUUAGGAUCCAAAGACAAACAAAAGAAUGUUAAUAUGAUGCAUAUUGAUGCGGAAUUUCGCACUGGAUACAUCGAGAGCCUGGACGCUCGACUUUUGGAGCUGCCCUAUGUGGGUCGGAAGUUGAGCAUGUUCAUCGUACUUCCGAACAAAAUUGAUGGGUUGCCUGAAUUGGAAUUGAAAAUGCACGAGGCUUCUCUGGACGACUCCAAUGUAGAAAUGCGUAGUGCUAAACUGCAUGUGGCUAUCCCAAAAUUCAAGCUGGAUGCUGAUAUUAAACUGAAAGAUAUUUUAAUCGAAAUGGGAAUAGCUGAUUUGUUUGACGCAAACGCUGCUGACUUUUCUGGAAUAUCGGGAGAGAAAGACCUUUUUGUGUCUGAUAUAUUUCACAAAUCAUUUAUCGACGUAAACGAAGAAGGAAGUGAGGCUGCUGCUGCAACAGGUAGUACCAGUAGAAAGAAGAGAUCAUUGAAUUUCGAGGAAGAUCAGAUAGUGGAUCCUUUUAUCGCUGAUCACCCUUUCAUGUGGCUAUUACGAGACAAUGAUUCUGGCAUGUGGAUCUUCCUCGGACGAUAUGUUGACCCAAUUUUAAUUCGUGCCAUUCCCGAAAUAACAUCAACCCACCAUAAUGAUGAGCUUUAAGCAUAACGGUUUCGUUUAAGCCAGCUUCUGGGAUCCGUGUGUUCCUUUUAAGUUUUGAGAUUUGGCGCAGUGAUGAUGACUCGAAUGAUGAUAUUCCCUCCGGAGCCGCCUGCACCAUUUGUUGCUGAUCAUCCUUUUUACUAUUUCAUUCGGGACAAUGUAACAAAGUUGAUCCUCUUUUCCGGGCGUUUGGCUCAACCCCCCGCAUCUAGCUAAAUUGUUCGAGUGUUCAGUCAUAUGGCAGUUAGCGCCACGUCCUACAUGCUUUUAU
rnacentral:misc_RNA from 1 species